UACGAAGGGGGCUAGCGUUGCUCGGAAUCACUGGGCGUAAAGCGCACGUAGGCGGAUUGCUAAGUCAGGGGUGAAAUCCUGGAGCUCAACUCCAGAACUGCCUUGAUACUGGCAACCUUGAGUCCGGGAGAGGUGAGUGGAACUGCGAGUGUAGAGGUGAAAUUCGUAGAUAUUCGCAAGAACACCAGUGGCGAAGGCGGCUCACUGGCCCGGUACUGACGCUGAGGUGCGAAAGCGUGGGGAGCAAACAGG
rnacentral:rRNA from 1 species